AGCAGCGUAGGAAAGUGGUCAUCCCGCCGGGCUCACAACUCGGAGAGCGUCGGUUCAAGUCCGACCGCUGCAACCA
rnacentral:tRNA from 1 species